rnacentral:lncRNA from 1 species
GCAACAUUACCCAUCUCUGGGUCUUGGAAUACCUUGCAAAGAGGAAAGCCCAGCACAUAAUUUGGUUCUCCAAAUAAUUCUUGAACUAAUCAAAUCAAUCUGUACCUCAUAACUCCUCCAUUCCCUCUCUUGGCUUCCUUGUCUGUUGAUUUUGCAUCUUCCCUGUUCUGUCCCUGGUUUGACCCUCAAAUGUGAGCAUUUGUCUUCAGGGUUGUUCCUUUCUGUUCUGUCUGUGACUUACUCAAGUCUGUAAAGCUUAAUCAUAGCUGUGGCCACCACUUAAGACAUCAUUUACCCAAAAGCUCUAGGAGAGGUUCCAAUCAUCCAAAAUUUCUAAUUUUAAAAAAUACUAUUGUGUAGCUAUCAGUGAGUUUUCAGAGAAUAUCAGA